AAUCUUCUAUAUUGUGUCAACACCAAAACACGAUCACAAACAUGAUGAGAUGGUGAUGGACAGAGAGAAAGAAAUGCAGGUAAAAUGGUGAAGCAAAGAACUAUAAUCUAUCUAGUUGUCUAUCAACAGAAGAAUGGAUAAAGAAGAUUUGACAUCUAGACAUAUAUGACAGGAACCUCUCAGAGAAGUAGAGCUGAGGAUCAUGGGAGCUCUGGAAAGUGUUCAGACAUCAAGCAAAGUUGGAGAAUUCAG